UACGAAGGGUGCAAACGUUGCUCGGAAUCAUUGGGCGUAAAGCGCACGUAGGCGGCCCCGUAAGUCGGAUGUGAAAUCCCUCGGCUCAACCGAGGACGUGCAUUCGAAACUGCCGGGCUCGAGUAUGGAAGAGGGUCGCAGAAUUCCCGGUGUAGAGGUGAAAUUCGUAGAUAUCGGGAGGAAUACCAGUGGCGAAGGCGGCGACCUGGGCCAAUACUGACGCUGAGGUGCGAAAGCGUGGGGAGCAAACAGG
rnacentral:rRNA from 1 species